rnacentral:rRNA from 1 species
UACGUAGGUGGCAAGCGUUGUCCGGAUUUAUUGGGUUUAAAGGGUGCGUAGGCGGCCUUAUAAGUCAGUGCUGAAAUAUCCCGGCUUAACCGGGAGGGUGGCAUUGAUACUGUAGGGCUUGAGUGUAGUCGAGGUAGGCGGAAUUGACGGUGUAGCGGCGAAAUGCUUAGAUAUCGUCAAGAACACCGAUAGUGUAGACAGCUUACUAGGCUACAACUGACGCUGAGGCACGAAAGUGUGGGGAUCAAACAGG